GAUAAGCAUAUUAAUGAGGGGAGGAAGAGAAACUAACAAGGAUUCCUUUAGUAGCGGCGAGCGAAACAGGAACAGUUCAGCACUAAGCCUUCUGGUUUUAAAAGGUCAGAUAGGGAUGCAGUGUAAGGAAAGUUCAUUAUCUUAUAUAUAAAUGAUAUGUUCAAGUCCAUCUUGAAUGGGGCCAAUUACCCACAGAGGGUGCCAGGCCCGUAGUAACUAUCAUUCAAAUAUAUAUAGGAGAGUUUUUCCAAAGAGUCGUGUUGCUUGAUAGUGCAGCACAAAGUGGGUGGUAAACUCCAUCUAAAGCUAAAUAUUACCAUGAGACCGAUAGCGAACAAGUACCGUGAGGGAAAGUUGAAAAGAACUCUGAAUAGAGAGUUAAAUAGUACGUGAAACCAUUUAGGGGUUAAGCCCGAUGAACCCGAAUAUCUGAAAUGAGAAAUUCAAUACUAUUUUAUUAUAACUGAUAAUAAGGUUAUAUAAUAUAAAUGGUGUGCACUUUUCUCAUUAGUAAGACAUUGCAAUCCAUUGGUUUUAAAAUUGUAAAUUUAUCAUAAGGCCAAUAUGAAUUGUUCAUUAUUUUAUAUAUUAUUUUAUAUAUAGAUAAUAAUGAAUUCUGUUGUGACCAGAUAAAUAGCCGAUGGUUUUUAAAAAUCAUAUUUACAUUUUAUAUGUGGCACAGUUAUAUUUUAUUUAAAUAUAAUGUAGUGUUGAUAUGUAUUUGAUUAGCAAUGCGUAUGAUUUGGGAUACCUUCGGGACCCGUCUUGAAACACGGACCAAGGAGUCUAACAUGUGCGCAAGUCAUUAGGAUUAUUAAUUUAUUAUUAAUACCUAAAGGCAUAAUUAACGUAACUGUAUAUUUAUAUAUAUGGGAUUACAAAUAAUUUUAUAUAAUUAUUUUUUCAUCUCAGGGCGUUUUAUAUUGAACAUGUUUAUCAUUUUUAAUGUUUGACCUCUGUUCAAAAGCGUACCUUGAGCGUACAUGCUGUGACCCGAAAGAUGGUGAACUAUACCUGAUCAGGUUAAAGUCAGGGGAAACCCUGAUGGAAGACUGAAGCAGUUCUGACGUGCAAAUCGAUUGUCAGAAUUGGGUAUAGGGGCGAAAGACCAAUCGAACCAUCUAGUAGCUGGUUCCCUCCGAAGUUUCCCUCAGGAUAGCUGGUGCAAUAAAAUUAUAUUAUAUGUAAUCUUAUCUGGUAAAGCGAAUGAUUAGAGGCCUUGGGGCCGAAACGACCUCAACCUAUUCUCAAACUUUAAAUGGGUAAGAACCUUGUCUUUCUUGAUAUGAAGACAUUUAGGUUUCGAUAUAUUGUGCCCAGUGGGCCACUUUUGGUAAGCAGAACUGGCGCUGUGGGAUGAACCAAACGUGAUGUUACGGCGCCAAAAUUAACGACUCAUAUUGAUACCAUGAAAGGCGUUGGUUGCUUUAAACAGCAGGACGGUGGACAUGGAAGUCGUAAUCCGCUAAGGAGUGUGUAACAACUCACCUGCCGAAGCAACUAGCCCUUAAAAUGGAUGGCGCUUAAGUCGUAUGCCUAUACAUCACCGCUAUAGUAUUUAAUAUAUAUAAUUUUAUAUUUUAUAUAUUUUGAAACUAUAGUGAGUAGGAGGGUACAAUGAUAUGNGUAGAAGUGUUUGGCGGAAGCCUGCAUGGAGCUAUUAUUGGCACAGAUCUUGGUGGUAGUAGCAAAUAAUCGAAUGAGACCUUGGAGGACUGAAGUGGAGAAGGGUUUCGUGUGAACAGUGGUUGAUCACGAGUUAGUCGGUCCUAAGCUCUAGGCGAAAGCCGAUAUUAAUUAAUAAUAUAUAUUAUGUAUAUAAUUAUUUUGAGCGAAAGGGAAUACGGUUCCAAUUCCGUAACCUGUUGAGUAUACGUUUGUUAAUAAAAAUGGGUUCUAUUUUGGUACUCAUCCUGGUAACAGUAACAACCAUAGAGAAACCUUCGAGCGAUACUGAAAGAGUUUUCUUUUCUAUUGAACAAUUGUAUCACCAUGGAAGUCUUUUAGAGAGAGAUAUGGUGAAUGAAUUGGAAGAGCAUGACAUUUAUUGUUGUGUCAGUAUCUACUCCUUGGACCUUGAAAAUCUAUGGUAGGGCCACGCAAAUUUCUCAACAGACCGUACCGAUAUCCGCAGCCGGUCUCCAAGGUGAAGAGUCUCUAGUCGAUAGAAUAAUGUAGGUAAGGGAAGUCGGCAAAUUAGAUCCGUAACUUCGGGAUAAGGAUUGGCUCUGAAGAUUGAGAUAAUCGGGCUUGAUAGGGAAGCAAUAAUAUUGCUAUGUACUCGUCCUGGGUAAAUAAGAUGAAUUUUUUCUUUAAUCGGUUUAAAUUUAUUUGUUCCCCGGGUAGUAGAUUUCAUGGCUAAGUUGUGGAACUUUCUUGCUAUUAAAUAGAUUAAAAUUUUAUAGUUUUAAUUUAAAACGAUUAUCAAUAAACAAUCAAUUCAGAACUGGCACGGACUUGGGGAAUCCGACUGUCUAAUUAAAACAAAGCAUUGUGAUGG
rnacentral:rRNA from 1 species